GUGUGUGUGUGUGUGUGUGUGUGUGUGUGUGUGUGUUCCUCCCUCCCUCCCUCACUCACUCACUCACUCACUCACUCU
rnacentral:pre_miRNA from 1 species